rnacentral:rRNA from 1 species
ACUCCUACGGGAGGCAGCAGUAAGGAAUAUUGGACAAUGCCCGCAAGGGUGAUCCAGCCAUGCCGCGUGCAGGAAGACGGCCCUAUGGGUUGUAAACUGCUUUUGUACCGGAGAAAACCUCCCCUUGCGAGGGGAGCUGAUAGUAUGGUAAGAAUAAGCAUCGGCUAACUUCGUGCCAGCAGCCGCGGUAAGACGAAGGAUGCAAGCGUUAUCCGGAUUCAUUGGGUUUAAAGGGAGCGUAGGUGGGUUUGUAAGUCAGUGGUGAAAGCCGGUCGCUUAACGAUCGAAUUGCCAUUGAUACUGCAGACCUUGAGUACAGAUGCUGUGGGCGGAAUAUGACAUGUAGUGGUGAAAUACAUAGAGAUGUCAUAGAACACCGAUUGCGAAGGCAGCUCACAAAACUGUAACUGACACUGAGGCUCGAAAGUGCGGGGAUCAAACAGGAUUAGAUACCCUGGUAGUCCGCACUGUAAACGAUGAUUACUCGCUGCUGGGGGGCAACCUUCAGUGGCUGAGCGAAAGCGAUAAGUAAUCCACCUGGGGAGUACGCCGGCAACGGUGAAACUUAAAGGAAUUGACG